CCCUUAGAUGUCCUGGGCCGCACGCGCGUUACACUGAUGCAUUCAACGAGCUUAUAACCUUGGCCGAGAGGCCUGGGCAAUCUUGUUAACGUGCAUCGUGAUAGGGAUAGAUUAUUGAAAUUAUUAAUCUUGAACGAGGAAUUCCUAGUAAACACAGAUCAUCAAUCUGCAUUGAUUACGUCCCUGCUCUUUGUACACACCGCCCGUCGCACCUACCGAUUGGAUGGUCCGGUGAAGCCUCGGGAUUGUGGUUCUUGCCGCUUUAUUGUGGCGUGACCGCGAGAACUUGUCUAAACCUUAUCAUCUAGAGGAAGGUAAAGUCGUAACA
rnacentral:rRNA from 1 species